UUUUGGUUGCUGGAUAUCGAUCGGACGCUAGUUUCACACACAUAAUAAUUGCAGUAUAUUUACUUUUAAAAAAGAGGAAUAAUGGAACUAAUGGAAGUAGGCAAAGAACCAUUUGGAGGAUUGGUACCUAUGAAAUGGAAAAACGGAGAAAAUAUGUCAUCAUUUAGUGAAUUAGUAUCCAAAAAUGUGAUUUUAAGCCACCCAACAGUGCCAUUUACUUUAAUUUACCAGUGGCUAGUAGUGCCACUUUUCCAUUUAGAAUAAACUUAAUGCAACCAUUUCCUGGAAACUAUCUCCCACAAAAUGAAAGAAUCUUUAUAUAGGUUGAGUAGGUUCUGCAGAAUUAUUAGAAGUUCAUUUGAAAUCCUAGUAGCAAGAUGGUGAAUUUUCGAAUGACCAGUUAUUGCAAAAUAGGAAUUGAUUUAAAAAAUAGUGGAAGCACUGGUGUGUUUACACAACUGUGGGCGUUGCUGGGGUCACAUAGCAAGAUGUAGAGAGAAAGCUCUUUGAGGCUCGGGGAGCUGUGGAGGGGUGGUUUUUGUCAAAUUGUUUGCUGCUUAAUAUGGACAAGACCCAGAGUAUGGUUUCUUGGAGUCCACAUGGACUGAAGUUGGUGUGGGAGCAGCAGAUUGAAACUGUAUGCAGUAGUCUUAAGUUUAAUGUUUCUGCCUUACACAGUCUGGUAGGGUGUAUAUUAAAUGAAACCCUGAAGGCUGCAUAUUUUGCCACUUUCCAUAGUAAAAUGACUUAUGGAAUUUUGGCCUGGGGGGGUUCGUCACAAUCUGUCCGGGUGUUUCAACUCCAGAGAAGGGCUCUGAGGUUUAUGUCUGGUCUUAGUUACAUGUUACAGAGAAGAUUGCAGGGCUACUUUCAUGCUGUGGGGCAUAAUAACUCCUCCCUUUGCUAACAUACUAGAGCACCCUAUGUAUGUAAUAAUAUAGACAGUUACGGAAUUCAUGGAGACCUCCAUGGCAGACUGGGAAGGUGCAAAUGUAAGCCUGUCUUUUUGGGUGUAAAGCUUUUUAAUCGGUUGCCACUUCAGGUUAGGGCACUCCCUUUUAAACCAUUUUAAGCAGAUUGUUAAGAGUUUUUUGAUUAAGAAAGUAUUUUAUUGCUCACUUUCUUGAACUUGAAAUGUUGAAUUUUAACAUGUAAUGCUAAAUAUGUUUGUGAUUAAUUAUUUUAUAUAUAAUAAUAAUAAUACGUUUAUUAGUUACCAAAAUAUUACAUAAUAAAUUAUAUUUAUUAUUUUUUAUUUACAUCACUCCACAGAUUUACAUUAUUAUUAUUGAGUGUGAAUGAAAAAGACAAUAAAAAAAUAUUAAUAAUAUAACACAAAAACUAUCAAUACAAAAAAAGACCUUACAGUUAAAAAUGUCACAUUGAUUUUGAACAGAAUUAUAUGUGUCGCACGCUCUACGCAGUGGAGAAAAUGUUUGAUGAAGUCCUGAUAGGUAAAACGUUUGUGGGUUUCUGGCUGAUGAUAUGUGCGGCAAAUGAAAAUUAAGUUGUUAUAACAUUACAGGCAAAUCAAUCAUGUUAUUUAACAAUUUAUAUAAAAGCUGCAGAAAUCAGAAAAUUUCCGCAUUUUCUCUGUGUCAAUGUAAAUUUUUCCAACUGUUGUGUGUGUAGCAAACAAGUUUCUGGGUACACUCUGUAGCACUUAAACCAUACAAAUUUCAGAAAUAUUUGUAUAUUUUCUUAUUGUAUUCAUUUAUAUGGUUUUAGUAAUAAUAUAAAGAAAAGCGGCCUCAAAAUUGAGCCUAGUAAGACUCCUGAAGCGGCAACGAUCUUUCCAUAACUUCGACCAUAGCAUUCUACGUACUGAGGCCGUUGAGUUAAGUAAGAUGAAAAAAAUUAAUUAAACAUGUUGAAAAGUCGUAGAAAUUUUCGAGGUUGUUGAUGAGAAUACCAUGAUCAAGUCUAUAAAUGGCUUUAGAAAGGUAGGUUUAAAUUACGUCAACUUGUGAGUUAGCGUUUAUUGAUGCCGAACUAAAUUCCGUAAGAGAGAGUAGAUUUGUUGUUGUACAUCUGCCUUUCACAGAGCCAUGUUGUCUAGUAUUAAUCAUUUUUCAUUAAGGGGUAUAAACCUGAAUGAAUUACUAGUUCGAAGCAUUUAGAAAAAUUAUUAAUUAUUGUUAUAGGACGAUAAUUGUCAAUAAGGUCUUUAUCAUAUUUUUUGUGUACAGGAUUAAUUUUAGAUGUCAAAAGGUCAGAAAAACAUUCUUGUUUUAACACUAAAUUAAAAAGAAAAUUCAAUGGUUCAACAAAAGCAUAUGCACAGUCAUUUAUGGGCAAAGCAGGAAUUUUGUCGAGUCCAAGCUUUUGGCAUAAUUCACUUAAGUGCCCGUAGCACCUCGUCUUUUGGAAAUCUGGUUAUAUAUUAUACAUAAGUGCUAAAAUUAAUUAAUUAUAAGGUAACAUAACUAACAGGCCAUUAAUUCAGAUUUCCAGGACCAUUUAAUAAAAUCGUACCUGAAUUCUGUUGAAGCCUAGGUGUUGCCUACAGAAUAUUACAGAAUACGUAUGUAUAUAUUCUCUAGGCAAUAUUAAGUGUAUACUUAAUAAUAAACUACAUCCCAUAAUCAAUAUUAAGUCGUAAAGAAGAGCUUGAAGCAAAAGAAAAAACAUAUUAGAAGGAUAGAGAAAGAAUCUCUCCUACACUUAGGCAUACCCUAUCAAGAGGCUCAAAUGAUUUAUUCAGGUUGGUGUUGAAAAUUAUUCGACAAACAAAAAAAACACAUAGCAAACUGGCUAAUCUUGUAUUUUUAUUUUAUAUAAUGAGUAAUCAAAUAUGAAAAUGACCUCUUAAAUAAUUCUUUAUUGUGCGACGGGAUAGUUAGAAGAUCGUUCCGUCUAAUGUUAAGAUUAUGCACAUCCGUACGAAAAUUCACUUUUUUAAUAAAUAUAUCGGCAGUGCAUACUCGACCAGUUUGCUUCAGUUAACUUAUGAGAUACGUGGUCUCUUCUCCUUAUACCAUAAAUAAGCCUUAGACAACAGUUUUGAAUUCUGGCCA